CUUCCGUAGGUGAACCUGCGGAAGGAUCAUUACCACACCUAAAAAACUUUCCACGUGAACCGUUUCAACCCAAUAGUUGGGGGUCUUAUUUGGCGGCGGCUGCUGGCUUAAUUGUUGGCGGCUGCUGCUGAGUGAGCCCUAUCAAAAAAAAGGCGAACGUUUGGGCUUCGGCCUGAUUUAGUAGUCUUUUUUUCUUUUAAACCCCUUCCUUAAUACUGAAUAUACUGUGGGGACGAAAGUCUCUGCUUUUAACUAGAUAGCAACUUUCAGCAGUGGAUGUCUAGGCUCGCACAUCGAUGAAGAACGCUGCGAACUGCGAUACGUAAUGCGAAUUGCAGGAUUCAGUGAGUCAUCGAAAUUUUGAACGCAUAUUGCACUUCCGGGUUAGUCCUGGAAGUAUGCCUGUAUCAGUGUCCGUACAUUAAACUUGACUUUCUUCCUUCCGUGUAGUCGGUGGAGGAGUUGUCAGAUGUGAAGUGUCUUGCGAUUGGUCUUCGGACCGGCUGCGAGUCCUUUUAAAUGUACUAAACUGAACUUCUCUUUGCUCGAAAAGUGGUGGCGUUGCUGGUUGUGAAGGCUGCUAUUGUGGCAAAUUGGCGACUGGUUUGUCUGCUGCGGCGUUAAUGGAAGAGUGUUCGAUUCGUGGUAUGGUUGGCUUCGGCUGAACAAUGCACUUAUUGGACGUUUUUCCUGCUGUGGCGUGAUGGACUGGUGAACCAUAGCUCGGUGGCUUGGCUUUUGAAUUGGCUUUGCUGUUGCGAAGUAGGGUGGCAGCUUCGGUUGUCGAGGGUCGAUCCAUUUGGGAACUUAAUGUGUACUUCGGUAUGCAUCUCAAUUGGACCUGAUAUCAGGCAAGAUUACCCGCUGAACUUAAGCAUAUCAAUAAGCGGAGGAAAU
rnacentral:ncRNA from 2 species